CGACAUUGGAACCAGUAACCGCAAACGUUGAAGAUAUUUCAGAAUAACAGCUGAAAAGGAAAGUUUAAACGACAAUGGCUUCUUUGAAAUUUGCUCUUUUUCUGGCUUUCGUUCUCCUGAAUGCAGCCGAAUUUGCUUUCGCAAAGUUCACGGUAAGACACGAGCAAUAUGGUUAUCUGUGCAGCUUUGGAAAUUCCUUAGGUUUCUCGACGGCAACACCUUCCGCUCCAUGUUUGUUUCAAUUUCUUCCAUCGACAAAUGCCAUACAAGAUUUGGCAAGUGGGAGAUGCUUUAAUGUUAUAACCUCAUCCAACAAACAAGUUGUUCUCCAACCAUGUUCUUAUAACCCACUACAGUGGCAAAUUACCGACGAUGGUCACCUUAAAUCAGUACAAUAUAAUCAGUGUUUAAGUGUGUGGGGUGCAGUUAUGCCUGGUCUUAAUGAUUGUGCUAAUUGGAAUAGAAUGGUCAUACAUCAGGUUCAGCAAUGAAACAAAGCGUAAAUAAACAUUGAAGAAAACGUGAUAAGGAU
rnacentral:lncRNA from 1 species